UAUUCCGUUAACGAACGAGACCUCAGCCUGCUAACUAGUCACAGUAGUCUUGACUGCUGGCCGGCUUCUUAGAGGGACUGAUCGAGCUUAUCGAUCGGAAGUUUGAGGCAAUAACAGGUCUGUGAUGCCCUUAGAUGUUCUGGGCCGCACGCGCCCUACAAUGAUACACACAACGAGUUUUCCUUGUCCGAAAGGUCCGGGUAGUCUUUAUCAAUGCGUAUCGUAAUAGGGAUAGAUUUUUGCAAUUCUGAAUCUUGAACGAGGAAUUCCUAGUAAAUGCGGGUCAUCAGCCCGCGUUGAUUACGUCCCUGCCCUUUGUACACACCGCCCGUCGCACCUACCGAUUGAAUGGUUCGGUGAAACUUUCGGACCGUGGUUCGGAUGCCUUCGGGCAACCUUACUGUGGGAAGUUAUUUAAACCUCAUCAUUUAGAGGAAGGUGAAGUCGUAACAAGGUUUCCGUAGGUGAACCUGCAGAAGGAUCAAUCCAUAUGACUAGUAGAUCCUCUAGAGUCGACCUGCAGGCAUGCAAGCUUUCCCUAUAGUGAGUCCGUAUUAA
rnacentral:rRNA from 1 species